rnacentral:lncRNA from 1 species
CUGAAAAAUUUAAGAGGACUCCAAAAACCUUGAUGGUCAUGACAAAUAUUCUAAUGUAAUGUUUUAAAAAUUCAAAAGUAAUGCAAAAAUCUAUCACGAACAAAAUACCAAAAUUUUAAACAGAAACAGAAUCUGACAUUGCACUUUGCAUGACCCUGCCUUGCCUGUGUCACCCCGGUCUCAGCUCUGUUAGAACAGGAAGUGUAGAGCCAAACCAUACAGGUCCAUUAAAGUCUGUGCUCAGGUAUGGUACCUGUCACACACAUGUCACAUGUCACUCACAUUCCUUUGGCCAAAGCAAGCUGCAUGGUGAGCUCCAAAGAGAAGAGGAUAAAGAAAUAUAUUCUACCAACAAGAAGGAUGAUAUGAACUGAUGAGUGGAGGAAACAAAUGAGGCAGUCUCCCACUGGCUGAAUAAGUGUCUGUUUGCCAUCCCUGUCUUGGAGCCAGCCAACUGUGGACUGAAACCUCUACGAAGUUUAAGCCCAAUAAACCCCUUCCCUUUUAACUUUGGAUGUCGGGUAUUUGGUCUCAGCAACAAGAGAAAAGUAACUAACAC